GAGUCCUGGCAGUGCAGUGGUUAGCACUUGACCCCAGGAAAGCUGAGACGCGGGUUCAACUCCCGCCGAGCUUCCA